rnacentral:rRNA from 1 species
GCCAGACUCCUACGGGAGGCAGCAGUGGGGGAUAUUGCACAAUGGGGGGAACCCUGAUGCAGCGACGCCGCGUGGGUGAAGGAGCGUUUCGGCGCGUAAAGCCCUCUCGGUAGGGAAGAAGGAGGACGGUACCUGACUAAGAAGCCCCGGCUAACUACGUGCCAGCAGCCGCGGUAAUACGUAGGGGGCAAGCGUUAUCCGGAUUUACUGGGUGUAAAGGGGGCGCAGACGGCAGCGCAAGCCAGGAGUGAAAGCCCGGGGCCCAACCCCGGAACUGCUUUGGAAACUGUGCAGCUGGAGUGCAGGAGAGGUAAGCGGAAUUCCUAGUGUAGCGGUGAAAUGCGUAGAUAUUAGGAGGAACACCAGUGGCGAAGGCGGCUUACUGGACUGUAACUGACGUUGAGGCUCGAAAGCGUGGGGAGCAAACAGGAUUAGAUACCCUCGUA